UGUUAGCUAUUACGGUUUAGAGCAAUAGAUAGAGAUAUAAUUCAAGAGUUCGAGUCUUUUGCAUUGUGAUCUAAGCUUUCUAUUGUUACACAAAGAGAUUGGUUUCAUAUUCUAAUAAAAGGAAUACUUUUGGUUACGUUAUUGCUCUAAGUUCUUAAAGCACAAGUAGGUUAAAAAUCAACAAGUGGUAUCAGAGCAAUCCAGGUUUUGAUUGCAAGGAUACUUGAACAAGAAUGACUAAACCAAAGAUCGAGAGAAUCGACAUAGAUCGGUUCGAUGGAACAGGAGAUUUUCGCUAUGGAAGGUUCGGAUGAUGGCUCACUUUG
rnacentral:lncRNA from 1 species